ACACGGGGGGAGCAAGCGUUGUUCGGAUUCAUUGGGCGUAAAGAGCUCGUAGGCGGCCUUGUAAGUGAGGGGUAAAAUUCAAUGGCUCAACCAUUGGCCUGCCUUUCAAACUACAAAGCUUGAGGCCGGGAGAGGAAAGUGGAAUUCCUGGAGUAGCGGUGAAAUGCGUAGAUAUCAGGAGGAACACCAGUGGCGAAGGCGACUUUCUGGACCGGUUCUGACGCUGAGGAGCGAAAGCUAGGGGAGCGAACAGGAUUAGAAACCCCGGUAGUCC
rnacentral:rRNA from 1 species